UGCAAGCUCCGCCCCCCGGGUUCCCGCCAUUCUCCCGCCUCAGCCUCCCGAGUAGCUGGGACUACAGGCGCCCGCCAUCACGCCCGGCUGCUUUUUUUGUUUUAGUAGAGAGGAGGUUUCACCGUGUUAGCCAGGAUGGUCUCAAUCUCCUGACCUCGUGAUCCGCCCGCCUCGGCCUCUCAAAGUGCUGGGAUUACACGCGUGAGCCACCGCGCCUGGCCUGAAGAAAGAAGUCAUUAAAGAAGCAACCCAUGGCAAAACUAGUUAUUUUCUUAAAACAGUAGGAAGAAGAAAAGCUUUUUGAAUGAAUCACUUCUCAUCUUCUCCGAAGUUGGAAGCAUCAAGAAUCUAAAUAAGCAUUUAUGAUGGCUGGCAUGAAUAUUUCUCUCCUUCAUCGUGCCUAUUUUAUGAACUUGAACAAGGAAGUUGCCACAACAUCUGUGGGCCAGAGAACUAUGCCAGAAUGUUAUUUCCAGAUUGCUUCCUGUAUUUACAAAGGCGGAAGAUAGAAUGGGAGUCCUAGUUGACCUUCAUAUAAUUUUUAGAAGAUGGAGCACUUCAACUUCUUCCACUCAUGAAAAGAGAGGUGACAGGUGAAGACAGAACAAGAAAACAAACCAAGAAUUUCCCCUCACCAGCCACCAGCUCUGCCAGCAACUUGAUCUUAGACUUCCCAGCCUCCGUAACGCCUCUGCUUAUAAUCUGUCAUGGAUUGGAAAACUAGAAAAAACAGUUUACAGAGUAUAACAAACUUUGGAGGAGUUAAUCGACUCUAAGUAAAAGAGUAUCUAGCACGGCUGUGGAACAAAGGAGAGACUCACAAACUGUUGAAAGAAUAAAUGAAUGAAUGAAUUCUGUUCAUGAGCUUUAAUAAAACAGCUCUGAGUAGUAACAGUGGAUCAAAUUUAGGCUUCUUGAUGCAGGCAUGGUGUAGAUUACUACUUCUGUAUUGUCCCAGGAGCUCAGCACAUUCCUGCAGAGAUGAUAGGAGCUCAUCUGAUACUUGUCAGCUUUGAAUAAACUCCAGUCCCCAAGAGAGAGAAUGAGAAUCACCGGAAUACGAAACUUCCCUGUUGGACUUCCCAACAUUCUUGAAUGCACCAAGAUAGCCUCUUGCUGUGAGAUUAAUAAAUGAAUAAAUGCCUCCAUAUUUUUCAAAUCUGUGAAGUUAACAACAUGUAGAUUUUUUUGCAUAUUUAAAAACUGCAACUAAAUCUUAAUGCCUCUGAAGCAGAUGGAAGAAAAUAAUAGGCUUCCAUUAACUGUGUCAAAUUGUAUAGGUCUUGGCCAUCACUGGUCCUGUUGUGAUGAAGGUUUUUUGCCCUUGGAUAUAAUUUAAUUUUCAAUUCUUCUAAUUAUGGUACUUCAGAACAUCAAUAUUUGAGAUGAACUUCUCUAGUGUCAAGGACUGAUUUGAGUUGUGUAAACCCUGAAUAUCUGAGACAGGUCUCGAUUAUUUUAGAAAGUUUAUUUUGCCAAGGUUGAGGAUGUGUGCCUGUGACACGGCCUCGGGAGGUCCUGAGGACAUGUGCUCAAGGUGGUCAGAGCACAGCUUUGCUUUAUACAUUUUAGAGAGACAUGAGACAUCAACCGACAUAUGUAAGAUGAACAUUGGUUCCAUCUGGAAAGGCGAGACAACUUCAAACGAGGAGGGGGCUUCCAGGUCAUAGGUAGAUAAGAGACAAAUGGCUGCAUUCUUUUGAGUUUCUGAUUAGCCUUUCCAAAGGAGGCAAUUAGAGUGAGCAAAAUGAACAAAAUCAAUUAUUUUGAUUCUGAACAAAAUGGGAGGCUGGUUUUCCCUAAGCAGUUCCCAGCUUGACUUUUCCCUUUAGCUGAGGGAUUUGGGGGGCCCAAGAUUUAUUUUUCUUUCACCGUUGUAUCAAACUACACAGGCGGCCUUGGAAACCAUCACAGUUGAGAGUAGGUAACGCCCAUUUGUUGCAUAGUUUUGUGCUCCACACUCUUAUCUACAAAAUUAUGAAUUUUUUUACAUAUAUUAAUUUCAGAAAAACUAAAAAUAAAACAAAGUAGUUUCAAACUAGUAUUGUUUUUAUAUCUUAAAAAUAAAGCUUUAUAUACUCUCC
rnacentral:lncRNA from 1 species